rnacentral:rRNA from 1 species
UACGUAGGGGGCGAGCGUUGUCCGGAUUUAUUGGGCGUAAAGAGCUCGUAGGCGGUUUGGUAAGUCGGGUGUGAAAUCUCCACGCUCAACGUGGAGGGGCCACUCGAUACUGCCAUGACUCGAGUCCGGUAGAGGAGUGUGGAAUUCAUGGUGUAGCAGUGAAAUGCGUAGAGAUCAUGAGGAAGACCAGUGGCGAAGGCGGGUCUCUGGACAGUUCCUGACACUGAGACACGAAGGCCAGGGGAGCAAACGGG